AUUGAACGCUGGCGGCAGGCCUAACACAUGCAAGUCGAGCGGAGCGGCGGACGGGUGAGUAAUGCUUAGGAAUCUGCCUGGUAGUGGGGGAUAACGUCCGGAAACGGGCGCUAAUACCGCAUACUAUCAGAUGAGCCUAGGUCGGAUUAGUUAGCUGGUGGGGUAAAGGCCUACCAAGGCGACGAACCGUAACUGGUCUGAGAGGAUGAUCAGUCACACUGGAACUGAGACACGGUCCAGACUCCUACGGGAGGCAGCAGUGGGGAAUAUUGGACAAUGGGCGAAAGCCUGAUCCAGCCAUGCCGCGUGUGUGAAGAAGGUCUUCGGAUUGUAAAGCACUUUUAGUUGGGAGGCGUUACCAACAGAAUAAGCACCGGCUAACUACGUGCCAGCAGCCGCGGUAAUUC
rnacentral:rRNA from 1 species